AACGAACGCUGGCGGCGUGGAUAAGACAUGCAAGUCGAACGGGAUUACUUUUGGUAGCAAUACCGAAAGUAAUUCAGUGGCGAACGGGUGCGUAACACGUGGGCAAUCUGCCGAAAAGUGGGGAUAGCUCGCCGAAAGGCGAAUUAAUACCGCAUGUGGUGAGGGACGACAUCUUCCUGAAUCCAAAGCCGGGGCAACCUGGCGCUUUUUGAGGAGCCCGCGGCCUAUCAGCUAGUUGGCGGGGUAACGGCCCACCAAGGCUAUGACGGGUAGCUGGUCUGAGAGGACGACCAGUCACACUGGAACUGAGACACGGUCCAGACACCUACGGGUGGCAGCAGUCGAGAAUUUUCUCAAUGGGGGAAACCCUGAAGGAGCGACGCCGCGUGGAGGAUGAAGGCUUUCGGGUUGUAAA
rnacentral:rRNA from 1 species